rnacentral:lncRNA from 1 species
GAAGAAAGCUAUGUAAUAUCCAUCACUGGAAGCUUUUGUAAGGUCAGGUUAUACAAACAUCUGUCAAGAAUGGUUUCAAUAUAGUUGAUCCUGCCUUGGGGCAGAGAGACAGACUAAGUGACCACCUGAGGUUCCCUCCGGCCUGUUUUCUGUGAGCCUGUGGCAUUGUGAUGCCACAUAUUAUAGAUAGCCUCUACUGCGUGCCUUAUCCUGUUGAUGGAACGAGACCGCACAGUUGCCUUUAGGAUUCUUCACAGCUAUAGAUGGUGGCAGAUUGCCAAUAACCUGUACAUAAGGAUACAUUACUUUUGCACAGAUUGUUGUAGAAUGUUUUGUUUAAUGACAUCAGAGGUAUUCAUACUAUUAGACCUUCUCUAUUCCUAUUUUCCUGUUGUGGAUAAUAGCAUUUACAUAGGACACUCUGAAAGUAAUGCCUCCUAUUUAUUUCCAUGGAAACUUCAACACAUACAAAGAGCACAGUAACACUAUUUCAUAGAGCAAAUUCUAAUCUACAAUACACUGUUUCUCAACAUAGUCAUCACCACUAGCUGAGUGAGAGGCUCUUCAUUUUGUGGUAUGACAGCUGUGCAUGGCCAUCCAGAACAUGGCUUGAACUUCAUGUCUGUGUCAUCACUGCUGACGCGCAACACCCACAACCUCACUUUGCUCACAUCCACUGGUUGGUCUCCAUAAACAUUCAGCAAACAUCAAUGAAUGUCAAUAUUUGUGUUUUUUUCCACAUGGAAGAGUUCAGUGACAUACCCUUGCUUAAUAGGCACUUCCACAUCAGGCUUGUCAGACUGCCCCUCUGCUGCCAUCUGUCACAUGGCAAAAAAAUAUAAUGGAAUAUUGGUGGGAAGAUUCAGCCUCUACUGCCAUACCACCAUCUCUGACACUGUGGAGUAACAUAAUAAAAUAGGAGGCAUUACAUUUGAAGCA